rnacentral:rRNA from 1 species
UGGGGAGAGGAAAUUGUUUCCUCGAGUCGUUGAUUUCACACUGCCGAGAAAAGCCUCUAGAUAGAUAACAGGUGCCCGUACCGCAAACCGACACAGGUAGGCGAGGAGAGAAUCCUAAGGUGAGCGAGAGAACUCUCGUUAAGGAACUCGGCAAAAUGACCCCGUAACUUCGGGAGAAGGGGUGCUCU